rnacentral:rRNA from 1 species
CAGCAGCCGCGGGAACACCGAGGGUGCAAGCGUUAAUCGGAAUUACUGGGCGUAAAGCGCGCGUAGGUGGUUUGUUAAGUUGGAUGUGAAAGCCCCGGGCUCAACCUGGGAACUGCAUCCAAAACUGGCAAGCUAGAGUACGGUAGAGGGUGGUGGAAUUUCCUGUGUAGCGGUGAAAUGCGUAGAUAUAGGAAGGAACACCAGUGGCGAAGGCGACCACCUGGACUGAUACUGACACUGAGGUGCGAAAGCGUGGGGAGCAAACAGGAUUAGAUACCCCAGUAGUCCCUGUCUCUUAUAA